rnacentral:tRNA from 1 species
GCCCGGCUGGCUCAAUUGGAUAGAGCAUCAGACUUCUAAUCUGGGGGUUGUGAGUUCGAGUCUCACGUUGGGUG